ensembl:lncRNA TTC12-DT TTC12 divergent transcript
AGGAGGCGGGACAGGGGGCGGGCAUGGACACGCGAUCAGAUUCGCUACCGCAGAGCUCUAGCUCCGGAGCGCGCCAAGUUGAAGGCCAAAGUCGAGGUUGGGAUGCCCGAUGCCUGGCGCGGGGAGACGGAGGAAGCAAAGUGCUGCUGCCUGGUGGAAAUACAGUAUUAUAUAAUGACAUGCUACUAUGCAUCUCUACCUAACUCCUCGUCUGGUGAUGCCAUAUUGAAAUCAGCCAUACUGAGAGUAUUUACACACUGCUGAAGUCAGUAAAUGCUACAAAUCAAGGCUUGAAUGUAACCUACAUGAGAAAGAGUUGCCUUGCUCACUGCCGUAUCCCAGUAUCCCAAGAACCUUGGAGAUGCUCUAUGAAUACUGAAUGAAUCUGAGAGGAAACUAGCCCGAAGGGGGAAGGCUCUGGAAGCAAGCCCUCAUGGACCAACGGAGAGUGAGUGUCAUCAUUUUAUGUUUUCUCCAAAUCUUGUAAACAAUGUGUUUUAGUCUUAGCCUGUCAUAUGCAGCUGAAAUCUGGGGCAAAUAAAAUCACAUAGAUGCAUGUG